rnacentral:lncRNA from 1 species
GGCAACACCGGCCGCCGUGGAUGAAUAAAACAUCGAUCACCCGAAACCCCUCAGCUGUAUAAGUGGCGAAAGGCGACAUAAUCUCCCCAGGACAAGGUCCCGCGCCGAGAUUUUCGCGAGACAACAACACAGCGGAGCACCGCGGCGGCCGGACGCGACGUGCGCGUUGUUUCGAACCCACGAUGCCCGGCGGCGCCGGCGCGACCGAAGCGGAGGACCCGGGGAAGGCGUCGGGCCCGGGAGCGCAGGAGGUGCCGGAGGAGAGCGCGGCGCACGGCGGCUUGAGGCGCAACGCUUCUGCGCCCUCGCUGGACGCCAACUUUAAAGAGAACAUAAUCAUGACUGUACGAAGAUAUUCAGUCGCCUCGAACAUGCUCAAGGUUGACCGCAAGGGUGACAGUGCACACAAGACACGGAAGCCCGAGGAGAAGUCCAGGGAGAUCCAGAGCAAAUGGGGCAAAGCGCACGAAGCCCUGUACGGGCGCUCAGCGACGCCGUCGGGCGGCCCCACGCGAGAUGAGCACAGCAGCGCCGGCGGCAGGGAGAAGCUGACCAACAGGCGCUCUCUGCAAGACUAUGUCCAUAAAAACAGGGCCAAGGUCAAAACCGUGACGUUCCUUCUCCCUGUGGAUGACAUUUAUACCAGCCGACCAGUGCUGGCCAACACGAAUCUGAUCAGAACCGACUCGUCGGGCGAAUGAAGUCCGGACACGCCAGAUGAAGGAGGAAAGGGGUAGGAACGUGGACGAACGGAGGAUCAGACUGAUGGAGAGCUGACCCGACCCCACCAAAAAAAACAUUGUCCAUCUAGUUAUAGUGAGUCUGCUGCAGCCCCAAUGCUUUUCAGGUCAACUUCAGCGUGGACCCGUGUUAUUCCAGCGCCUGACCUCGGUGCAGAGACUCAAGUUACAGAUUCGGUUUCCGGCGUCCGUAUCCGGGUGAAGGAACACAACGCGGUGCACCAACCCCGAACCACGAGGCGACAUUUGGGCCUCCAGCGCGGAUCGGGUGUCCCGUGGACUAACCCUUGUGUCAAAUCAUGACGAGUCCCCGAGGACCACGCGGGUGGCAGCGCAAAUGCACUCUGGUUUCAGUGUCAGGUGAUGCGCCAUUGUCAGCUCCAAAUCAGGGUUGUUAACCUACCUUUGUUCUUCAGAAUGGUGACUUGGAGACACACUACGCAUAAAUUAUGGAUAGAUUUGGACAGAUCAAAACCACUCUUGUAAUAUUGAAAAUAAAUGUUGAUACGCAAACA